rfam:Capsicum annuum cultivar Zunla-1 chromosome 11, whole genome shotgun sequence
GUCCCCUUGAGGACAUCCGAUAAAAUUGAAACAAUAUAGAGAAGAUAAGCAUGACUCUUGCACAACAAUCGAAAUCCUUGGGCUAUUAGUAUCAGCAGUUAAAU